AGUGAACGCUGGCGGUAGGCCUAACACAUGCAAGUCGAACGGCAGCACAGUAAGAGCUUGCUCUUACGGGUGGCGAGUGGCGGACGGGUGAGGAAUACAUCGGAAUCUACUUUUUCGUGGGGGAUAACGUAGGGAAACUUACGCUAAUACCGCAUACGACCUACGGGUGAAAGCAGGGGAUCUUUGGACCUUGCGCGAUUGAAUGAGCCGAUGUCGGAUUAGCUAGUUGGCGGGGUAAAGGCCCACCAAGGCGACGAUCCGUAGCUGGUCUGAGAGGAUGAUCAGCCACACUGGAACUGAGACACGGUCCAGACUCCUACGGGAGGCAGCAGCGGGGAAUAUUGGACAAAGGGCGCAAGCCUGAUCCAGCCAUACCGCGUGGGUGAAGAAGGCCUUCGGGUUGUAAAGCCCUUUUGUUGGGAAAGAAAAGCAGCAGGUUAAUACCCCGCUGUUCUGACGGUACCCAAAGAAUAAGCACCGGCUAACUUCGUG
rnacentral:rRNA from 1 species